AUUGAACGCUGGCGGCAGGCCUAACACAUGCAAGUCGAGCGGAUGAAGGGAGCUUGCUCCUGGAUUCAGCGGCGGACGGGUGAGUAAUGCCUAGGAAUCUGCCUGGUAGUGGGGGAUAACGUCCGGAAACGGGCGCUAAUACCGCAUACGUCCUGAGGGAGAAAGUGGGGGAUCUUCGGACCUCACGCUAUCAGAUGAGCCUAGGUCGGAUUAGCUAGUUGGUGGGGUAAAGGCCUACCAAGGCGACGAUCCGUAACUGGUCUGAGAGGAUGAUCAGUCACACUGGAACUGAGACACGGUCCAGACUCCUACGGGAGGCAGCAGUGGGGAAUAUUGGACAAUGGGCGAAAGCCUGAUCCAGCCAUGCCGCGUGUGUGAAGAAGGUCUUCGGAUUGUAAAGCACUUUAAGUUGGGAGGAAGGGCAGUAAGUUAAUACCUUGCUGUUUUGACGUUACCAACAGAAUAAGCACCGGCUCCCUUCGUG
rnacentral:rRNA from 1 species